GAAGGCACAACAAGAAGGCAUCAUCUGCAAGCCAAAAGGAGAGGGGUUAUAGAAGAAACCAACCCUUUCAGCACCUUGAUCUUCGACUUCUUCCUCCAGAACUGUUAUAUUCCAUGUACAAUGUGAACAACUGUAGUUUCCUGUGGCCUGGAAAACAAGGUCUUCUUGAUUGCAAAAAGGCCGUAAGAGAGCAUACAAACUCAACUUUACUGCAUUCAGCGGGCAACUUCUGUUUGAGAAAAAUGAACGCAGAAUACCAACCAGGGCCUGUUUCCCACAGACAACAAUGAUGCCAGUUGUUCUGAAGCUCCUAUGUGAGGAUUAUAAAUCUGUGCUUUGAAUUCUUCUAUAUCAUUGAAGGUAGAUGUAGAUAAUUCUUCCUGGACAUUUCCAUCAGCAGCAUCCAGCAAAGCAUGAUGAUAGUUAUCCAAAUGUAACAGAUAUGACAGGUCCCUAUUCAAAUUUAUUUUUUCUUUUGCUAUUGUAGAUAAAAUUUUGCGGGCCAUCCUCCUGGUAAAAUGACAUGCUUUUCAAUUCCAGACAUUAUAGUAGAAGCCAUAGAGAAAAGCCUCCUAUGGUUUUGCUUAUUUAUUUUCUGGUGGCUCUGGAGUUGUCAUCAUUUGAGAAAAAAAGAAAAAGACCCUUGAUCUGAGCUUUUUGAUGGACAAGAUGUUGCCUUUAUUUUUCACUCCUUUGGCAACUGACACUGUGUCUUAUUUUCUUCUUAACUCAUCUGUAUUGUGUAUUCUUAUGUUGCCAGAAAAAAAAGAAAAAAAAUGACAGAGUAAAAAAAUAAAACCCUAAUUCUUGAAUAUUUUAAGAAAUUAAAUUGUUCUUUGGAUAUGUGAAAAUAAUUCAGAACCCUAUUACUAAACACACAUCUUAGUAAAUAAACACCUUACCUUGAGUUUAGUAAACAAAUGUUCCAUGGAUUUGAAAACUAGAGAUUUUUUUGACAGAAGAGUGUAGACAGCAGAUAAUGCAAAAAUUUAAAAAAAAAUCCCUUUUUGGAUUAACAAAUCUUUUAUAUUUGUUGCUUUUUAUUAGUUUAUUUUUUCAAUAUAUCACAGUUACCUUUGGGGAUGGAUAUAUACAUAUACACACAUAUGUGUGAGUGUGUGUGUAUAUAUAUAUGUCAUAUCUUGGUCAUUUUUAAGAGAAUAGCAUGGAAAGUGUACAUCACUUAUAUUUUGUUUGUUUAGAUCUGAUUUUAUAGAUCACUUAGAUGCAUUUAAUCAAAUUGGAAUUCACUUGCUAUUUUGAAGAACUAGGGAACCACAGGAGAAAUUGUUUAGACUUACGCAUUCCUUUAACAUUUCUAAUAUACUCUAUAUCCCUUAUUUACCACUAUUAAGAUAAUUCAAGUCCUAUUUCUUGGUGAUAUAAAAGGACCUACAAGGAUUUACUAAGAUUAAAAGUUCAUAGAUGUUGACAUUGUCCUUCUUAGCUUUUUAAAAAUAAUUCUUUUUAAACAUAUCUUCUACGUUGUAUAAUUCAUGGUUUCCAGCUUUGUGAGUUACAUAUCCAUCACAAUGAAUCUAUGUUAGAACAUCUCCACCACGGCAUUAUGAGCCCUCAUACACAUUUAGUGUUAAUUCACAGUCCCUCCCCCUCCACCCAGCAGCUGGCAAUCUGAUUUCUGUCUUCAUAGCUUUAUC